AGAUGAGGUAAACUUUCUGCAGCUACCAUUUACCUAAUUCAGUUGUGUUCACAGUGGACCGCCACUUUAGGUAUUAAAACACACACCUUUACAAAGAAAGAUUGUUGCCCGAAGUGUUGGGUUCAGUGAUCAUUUUGUAAAAAACGAAAAAUGAGACUAACCAGUCUUGGUUUCAGAAGAGCAGGAAGGAACUGUGUGAGGAAAUAUGUCCGUCGAAAAAUACUGUGAGGAUAAGAUCAUAUAUUCAUGAAUUUUAUAUCAUCGUGAAAAGUAUGAGAAUCUAAAAAGAAAGAAAUAACUACAAAUAUAAUUUUGAGGACAAAUUUGCUGAUCAAAUUAUGUAGAGUACCUGGCCUCCAUAACAACGGCAGAGAUUUUCCCUGUAAUCUCAAAGAGAGAUGAAGCUUUCUCCACGUCCUGUGCAGCCUGGAGCUAGGGAAAUAGGGCAAAGCUUUAUCAGAAUCCAUAUAUUACAGGCGGUCGUUAGUUUAUGAAAGUUUGGACAUUUAAAAGUUCGAUAUAACAAAUAGUACACAACGAGAUACUUUCAUUUCUUUUAGUAUGACCUACAGUGCUGCCCAAAUGUAUUGGGCAAAAGUAAGUACCCCUGCAAUUCUGUCAGAUAAUGCUCAAUUAUUCCUAGAAAAGGAUUGCAAUUACAAAUGCUUUGGUAGUAAUAGCUUCAUUUAUUUUUGCUUGCAAGGAAAAAACAAAAUAGAGAAUGAAAAACAAAUUAAACCAUUAUCAUUUUACACAAAACUCCAAAAAUGGGCCGGACAAAAAAAAUCAUGUGAUGCUUUUCUCAUUUGUGUAAUAACAACACCUGGUACUUACCUGUGGCACAUAACAGGUGGUGGCAAUAACUAAAUCACAUUUGCAGCCAGUUAAAAUGGAUUAAAGUUGACUCCACCUCUGUCCUGUGUCCUUGUGUGUACCACAUUGAGCAUGGAGAAAAGAAAGAAAACCAAAGAGUCUGAGGUCUUGAGAAGCAAAAUAGUGUGGAAGCAUGGGCAAUCACAAGGCUAGACAUCCAUCUCCAAAGACCUGAAUGUUCCUGUGUCUACCGUGCGCAGUGUCAUCAAUAAGUGUAAAGCCCAUGGCACUGUGGCUAACCUCCCUAGAUGUGGACGGAAAAGAAAAAUUGACGAGAGAUUUUAACGAAAAAUUGUGCGGAUGGUGGAUAAAGAACCUCGACUAGUUCAAGCUGUCCUGCAGUGAGGGUACAACAGUGUCAACCCGGACUAUCCGUCGGCGUCUGAAUGACCCAGAGACAUAAAAAAGCCAGGCUGGAGUUUGCCAGAACUUACCUGAGAAAGCCAAAAACGUUUUGGAAGAAGUUUCUCUGGUCAGAUGAGACAAAAGUAGAGCUUUUUGGGAAAAGGCAUCAAUAUAGAAUUGACAGGGAAAAAACGAGGGCUUCAAAGAAAAGAACACGGUCCUCACAGUCAAACAUGGCGGAUGUUCCCUGAUGUUUUGGGGUUGCUUUGCUGCCUCUGGCAUUGGACUGCUUGACCGUGUGCAUGGCAUUAUGAAGUCUGAAGACUACCAACAAAUUUUGCACGAUCACGUAGGACCCAGUUUGAGAAAGCUGGGUCUCCCUCAGAGGUCAUGGGUCUUACAAUGACACAAAACACACUUCAAAAAGCACUAGAAAAUGGUUUGAGAGAAAGCACUGGAGACUUCUAAAGUGGCCAGCAAUGACUCCAGACCUGAAUCCCAUAGAACACCUGUGGAGAGAUCCUUAAAUGGCACCCUUAAAAUCUCAGAGACCUGGAGCAAUUUGCCAAAGAAGAAUGGUCUAAAAUUCCAGCAGAGCAUUGUAAGAAACUCAAUUGAUGGAUGCCGGAAGCGGUUGUUCGCAGUUAUUUGGUCUAAAGGUUGUGCUACCAAGUAUUAGCCUAGGAGUGCCGAUACUUUUGUCCGGCCCAUUUUUGGAGUUUUGUGUAAAAUGAUCAUGAUUCUUUUGCCCAUUCUCUUUUGUGUUUUUUCAUUGCAAGCAAAAUAGAUGAAGAUAUUACUACCAAAGCAUUUGCCAUUGCAAUUAUUUUCUGAGAGAAAUUGAGAUUAUCUGACAGGGGUGCCAAUACUUUUGGCCAGCAGUGCACAUUUUGGUUUAAAAAAAAAAAAAAAAAAAAACAUUUGGGGGUGUGAGGUGGGUCAUUCAAUAUUAGAAUUACUGCACAAGCAAAAUUAAGAAAAAGAGUCAUAUUGUAAAGACAUUUACCAAUACCUUGGGCUUGUGAAAAAGCUGUAUUAAAUUACAUGUUUUAAUAUGGCCCGUAAGGUCUAAUGUUACAAAUUAAGGAUGUCCUGAUAGCAUAUUUUUUGCACCCGAGUCAAAGUCACAGUUUUGAGAAUCUGCCGACAGUCCCAACCAGAUACCGAAAAAAAAGUUGUUUUAUUUGCUUAACAGUAUAGUAGUAGACUACAGUUAGGUCAGGAAUAAUAAAAUAUUAUUUUUUUAAGGAAAUAGUCAUCCAUUUUGUCUUCAUUGUUACUUACGACAUGCCUAAAACAUCUACAAGUUAAAUUGUGAUGGUCUUUGAUAAAAGUGACAUUUAUCUGAUUAUUUAUCGUCCGAUUAAUCGAUUAUAAAAAUCAUUGUUAGUUGCAGCCCUACCAACUUUAGUUGUGCAUUCCCCUUACACUACCGCACUCCUAUUUCACCUACUUUUCCUCUGCAUAUCCUUCCCUACAUGGAGGACACAAUUUGGGAAGAGUAGUUAUGCCAAUGCUUCUUAUAUUAGGUAACAUGUAUAGUAGGGGUGUGACAAUAUAUCGAAAUAGUGAUAUAUCGCCAGUGUUGUGAAAGAUUACUUGAAAAAGUAAAAUUUAAUUACUGAUUACGCCUCAACCAUGUAAUCUAGUUACUUUACUUAUUACUUUAUUAUCAAAGUAACCAAUUUACUUUAAAAGUAAUUUAUUGGUUACUAUUUAUCAAUUUUUCUCCCUUUGUCGCCUCAACAUGAGAAUGACAACAGAAAUAUGUCAUCGCAUGUAAUUGACUUUCGAGAAUUUAAUUUAAAAGGGAAGAUCAGAAUUUUUCACAUAAGGCUUAAUCUUCGAGUUAGCGUAGGUUUAAUUAGUCUAUGGAGUUGAGUUCAACCACCACUGACUCGUGUUAGCUAGGCCACUCCGGAGCCCUGCAACUAACAAAUAACCGACAAAUUGCAUGGAAUUUGUUGAAAUCAACUCCAUCCAUCCAUCCAUCCAUUAUCUUCCGCUUAUUCCGGGGUCGGGUCGCGGGGGCAGCAGCUUUACCAGGGAAGCCCAGACUUCCCUCUCCCCAGCCACUUCAGCCAGCUCCUCCGGCGGGAUUCCAAGGCGUUCCCAGGCCAGCCGAGCGACAUAGCUUCUCCAGCGUGUCCUGGGUCGACCCUGGGGCCUCCCGCCGGUGGGACAUGCCCGGAACACCUCUCAAGGGAGGCGUCCAGGAGGCAUCCGAACCAGAUGCCCGAGCCACCUCAACUGGCUCCUCUCAACGCGGAGGAGUAGCGGCUCGACACCAAGCCCCUCCCGGAUGACCGAGCUUCUCACUCUAAGGGAGAGCCCGGACACCCUGCGGAGGAAACUCAUUUCGGCCGCUUGUAUCCGGGAUCUUGUUCUUUCGGUCACGACCCACAGCUCGUGACCAUAGGUGAGGGUAGGAACGUAGAUUGACCGGUAAAUCGAGAGCUUCGCCUUUUGGCUCAGCUCCUUCUUCACCACAACGGACCGGCGCAGAGUCCGCAUCACUGCAGACGCUGCACCGAUCCGCCUAUCAAUCUCCCGCUCCCUCCUACCCUCACUCGUGAACAAGACCCCAAGAUACUUGAACUCCUCCACUUGGGGCAGGAUCUCAUCCCAGAGAGGGCAUGCCACCCUUUUCCGGCUGAGGACCAUGGUCUCGGAUUUGGAGGUGCUGAUCUUCAUCCCAACCGCUUCACACUCGGCUGCAAACCGCCCCAGUGAGAGUUGGAGGUCACGGCUUGAUGAAGCCAACAGCACCACAUCAUCUGCAAAAAGCAGAGAUGCAAUGCUGAGGCCACCAACACCGGACACCCUCAACGCUUCAGCUGCGCCUAGAAAUUCUGUCCAUAAAAAUUAUGAACAGAAUCGGUGACAAAGGGCAGCCUUGGCGGAGUCCAAUCCUCACUGGGAACGAAUUCGACUUACUGCCGGCAAUGCGGACCAGACUCUGACACCGGUCGUACAGGGACUGAACAGCCCUUACCAAGGAGCUUGGUACCCCAUACUCCCGGAGCACCCUCCACAGGACUCCCCAAGGCACACGGUCGAACACCUUCUCCAAAUCCACAAAACACAUGUAGACUGGUUGGGCGAACUCCCAUGCACCCUCGAGGACCCUGCCGAGGGUGUAGAGCUGGUCCACUGUUCCACGGCCGGGACGAAAACCACACUGCUCCUCCUGAAUCCGAGAUUCGACUUGCUGACGGACCCUCCUCUCCAGCACUCCUGAAUAGAGUUUACCGGGGAGGCUGAGGAGUGUGAUCCCUCUAUAAUUGGAACACAUCCUCCGGUCCCCCUUUUUAAAAAGGGGGACCACCACCCCGGUCUGCCAAUCCAGAGGCGUGUCAGCCAUGACAGCCCUACAACAUCCAGAGCCUUUAGGAACUCCGGGCGGAUCUCAUCUACACCCGGGGCCUUGCCACCGAGGAGCUUACCAACCGCCUCAGUGACUUCAACCCCGGAGAUUGAAGAGCCCACCUCAGAGUUUCCAGACUCUGCUUCCUCAAAGGAAGGCGUGUCGGUGGAAUUGAGGAGGGCUUCGAAGUAUUCUCCCCACCGACUCACGACGUCCUGAGUCGAGGUCAGCAGUACACCAUCUUCACUAUACACAGUGUUAAUGGUGCAACACUUUCCUCUCCUCAGAUGCCAGAAUUUCCUCGAAGCCGUCCGGAAGUCGUUUUCCAUGGCCUCGCCGAACUCCUCCCAUGUCCGAGUUUUUGCCUCAGCGACCGCCGAAGCCGCAGUCCGCUUUGUCAGCAGGUACCUGUCAGCUGCCUCCGGAGUCCCACAGGCCAAAAAGGCCCGACCCGAGAGGCCUCCUUCUUCAGCUUGACUGCAUCCCUUACCGCUGGUGUCCACCAGCGAGUUCGGGGAUUGCCGCCACGACAGGCACCAACCACCUUACGGCCACAGCUCCGAUCGGCCGCCUCAACAAUGGAAGUGCGGAACAUGGUCCACUCGGACUCAAUGUCCCCCACCUCCCGCGGGACAAGGGAGAAGUUCUGCCGGAGGUGGGUGUUGAAGCCCUUUCUGACAGGGGAUUCUGCCAGACGUUCCCAGCAGACCCUCACAAUUCGUUUGGGCCUGCCAGGUCUGGCCAGCAUCUUCCCCCACCAUCGGAGCCAACACACCACCAGGUGGUGAUCAGUUGACAGCUCCGCCCCUCUCUUCACCCGAGUGUCCAAAACAUGCGGCCGCAAGUCCGAUGACACGACCACAAAGUCGAUCAUCAAACUGCGGCCUAGGGUGUCCUGGUCCCAAGUGCACAUAUGGACACCCUUAUGUUUGAACAUGGUGUUCGUUAUGGACAAUCCGUGACGAGCACAGAAGUCCAAUAACAGAACACCGCUCGGGUUCUGAUCGGGGGGGCCGUUCCUCCCAAUCACGCCCCUCCAGGUCUCACUGUCAUUGCCCACAUGAGCGUUGAAGUCCCCCAGCAGAACGAGGGAGUCCCCAGAGGGGGCGCUCUCCAGCACACCCUCCAAGGACUCCAAAAAGGGUGGGUACUCUGAACUGCUGUUUGGUGCAUAAGCACAAACAACAGUCAGGAUCCGUCCCCCCACCCGAAGGCGGAGGGAGGCUACCCUCUCGUCUACCGGGGUAAACCCCAGCGUACAGGCACCAAGCCUGGGGGCAAUAAGUAUGCCCACACCUGCUCGGCGCCUCUCACCGUGGGCAACUCCAGAGUGGAAGAGGGUCCAACCCCUCUCGAGAGGACUGAUAUCAGAACCCAAACUGUGUGUGGAGGAGAGUCCAACUAUAUCUAGUUGGAACUUCUCUGCCUCACACACCAGCUCGGGCUCCUUCCCCGCCAGAGAGGUGACAUUCCAUGUCCCAAGAGUUAGCUUCUGUAGCCGGGGGUCGGACCGCCAAGGCCCCCGCCUUUGGCUGCCGCCCAGAUUGCUACGCACCUGACCCCUUUGACCCUUCCCACAGGUGGUGAGCCCAUGGGAAUGCGGACCCACGUUGCCUUUUCGGGCUGUGCCCGGCCGGACCCCAUGGGAAAAGGCCUGGCCACCAGACGCUCGCCUUCGAGCCCCACCCCCAGGCCUGGAUCCAGAGGGGGGCCCCGGUAACCCGCGUCCGGGCAAGGGAAACUUGGAUCCUGUAAUUUUUUCCAUCAUAAGGGGUCUUGUGAGACAUUUUUUGUCUGGCCCCUCACCUAGGACCUGUUUGCCAUGGGUGACCCUGCCAGGGGCUUAAAGCUCCCAGACAACAUAGCUCCUAGGAUCAUUGGGACAUGCAAACCCCUCCACCACGAUAAGGUGAUGACUCAAGGAGGGGUGAAAUCAACUCCACCGACUAAUUAAACCCACACACACACACAAAGAUUAAGCCUAAUGUGAAAAAUUCUACACUUCGGGUUAGGGUUUUAGGGGUUAACAGCAUAUCAGUGCCAAUGUAAAACAAUUCAAAUUGACAGCACAAUAAUCAACAACACACAAAUGAAUUGCAUAGUGCAGAGGACUGCGGACCUCCAAGCCGUCUGGACCGGAUCUCAAGCUGUCCGGACUAAUACACGUUGCAAAAACAAAAAUAAUUUUUUUCUGUGGGUUUGCAGAGCGGAGGUGGGCAACAAACAAAACCUUAGUGGUGACGCGCGUGAGCAGGCCAAUGGGAGUGAAGCAUUUGAAAGUUAUUUUUAGAACAGCAUGUCUCAUACUCGCUUUCCAGACUCCGUGGAGUGACAGCCAAAAACUGAGCCGAAUGAAGUUGGAGGAAGAGGCGAAAAGGCAAAUGGCGUGCUCAAAACUAUGCAAGAUUGAUGCAGAAAACAGAGUGUUUAAGGGGGAGUGGACCAACACAUUUUUGUUCAUUUUACCUGGCGGCAGCACAAGACCGCUAUGACUCAUCUGUUCAGAGACGGUAGCGCUUGUAAAAAGCAGCAAUUUGAAAAGGCACUACGAGACGAAGCACGCAGCUUUUUUGCAAAGUUUCCCUAUGAACUCUGCCAUCCGUUCUCAAAAAAUAGCGGAAUUAAGGGCUCAAUAUGAUCGCACCUCAAGGCUCAUGGUUCAUUUAUUCACUGCACAGCAACGCGCAAAUGAAUGCUCCCUCAGAAUAGCGUGCAUAUUGGGUCUAAAAACAAAAAGUCUUUCAGUGACGCACCGAUUGUCAAAGAUUGUAUGAGUGCAGUUGCUGAAACUUUGCUUGAUGGAAAGCAAAAAGAAGAGCUCUGUCAAAAAAUAAAGCAAAUCCCCCUGUCAGCAUCCACAAUUUAAAAAAAAAAAGUCUUGAACAUGUUCUUAUGCUGCUAUUUAAUAAUUCAAUUAAAGCACUUUUUUAGUUUUAUGCACCUUUUAUAUUUUAUUUACAUUUUUGAAUGUUGUAAUUAUCAUCAUGGGCACGUAAAGAUACGUUUGUAUUUUGGGGAAAAAAAGAAGCAUUAAAAAUAUUUCUGGACCCGAGAUUUUUGUAGUUUUUUAAUUUCGGACCCAGAGAAUUUUUAAUUCAUGACCCCUGGCAUAGUAAUAAAUAAAUAAAUAAGACACAAAGGUAAGGUAGGGGCGGGGACGUGGUCAAUUUGUCAACAAAAAGUGGCAGCAACAAAGCACUAUAAAUGCAAUCGGACUUACAACACAUCCCUAAGAUGUGAAACGAAAAAGUCACCUCACAGGAUAAAUGUGCAACAUGAAUAUGACGUAAACAGUGAUCGCCGAUGACUACCCGCCGUUGCAACGGCAAAGCUACUAAAACGGCCGCGCAUGUAGCAGCUCCAACUUAUUGCUGGAAGCCUCCAGAAUGAAGGAAAAAUACUCACGUUCAUUCAUGGACACACACAGACCAACAUUCCCUAACACAUCUCAAGAGGUGGCUGCACUCAGCUCGAAUGAUUGUGCACCUGCGCUGGCACACGCCUUUCUCAGUCCUAAAACACUUAUCGCGUGUGACUCGAGACCAAAACAGGAAGUCACUGUGAGCGGUUACCAUGGAAACGAACACAUAGUGCGGAUCACGCUUACAUUUUUUACUCAAAAUGCUCUUCGUACAUGACUACAAUUUUUCUUCAUUUUACAUACAUUAUGAGGCAAUAACAAAAUAGUAUCAUUAAGGAAACUAACUUUAAUCAGAUGGGUUGGAAAAAUGAACAUGUUAGAUUACUCGUUACUGAAAGAGUAAUCAGAUUACAGCAAGGCGUUACUUAGUAACGCGUUAGUGACAACACUGUAUAUCGCGAUACUUCUUAUCCUAAUAGCUUAUCGAUACGUUUCCACAAUGCCACUACUGUCUUUCAACACUCUACCCAGCCAAGUCUUCCAUCCGUCAUUUGUGUCAAUUAUAUCAUCAACUGUCAUUUUAAUUUCAUAGCACAUUGAAUCCUCAAAAUGUCACUGUACCUGGACUGGUGCAGCUUCAGCACCACAAAAAUUCUGAUAGAGACCCAUGUCCUCCAAUGAUUCCUGAAAAGAUGGACAAAAUAUAUAAACAACCGAACAUCCAAUCGGUAUUUAAAAAAUGAAUGUGAUUAAUAUUGAAGGCCACAAAAUUAUUUUGUCCCUUAAAGUUACCUUGAGAUCAGCAAGUCUUGUCUUGGCCAGGGAGACGUACUCCAUCAGGAGGCUACGGUACUUCGUGGGUACAUACGGAGGGUGGAGAAUGUGCAUCUUGAAAUUGAAAUUUAUGUUAUUUUAUUGUUUUUUAAUUAUGAAUAAGUUUGACAAUUUGUACUAAUAUUGUCUUCUAUUAGGAAAACCCACAAAAUCUAAUGCAAACAGUGAUGAGUACAUGUACAACUUAAAGGGAAAUAGUAUUUUUGCUAGCAUGCUAAUCUAUCAUUAUAGACAUGCCUGAUUCUAUUAUUUUGAACAUAAUAAAGAUGCUACAACCAUAAUGUUAACAAAUGAUAAAAUACAUCUAAAAUGUGAGUGCAUGAGAAAGGGUCAUUCUGCUAGAAAGGGACCCUGGGCCCAGUUUUCUCCAUCUGUUUGCCUGACUGUUUUCAUUUUUGUAUUUGUUAUUUUUGAAUGUUCUCGACUUGGAUUAAAUUGUCAACCUUUUGGAAAGUCGUUGUUAGAGGUUUUCUCAGGUUAAUCAAAGUUAGUGUUCUUUGAAUUAGCGGUCACAACAACUUGAACCCGCUGAAUUUGGCUCAGAGGUAAAUCACCAACACAUGCAUCAGAUUACCUUUAGGUACUGUUGGGGUUCAAACGGAACCAAGUCAGACAGAAACUUAAGUAGAAACAUCAGCGAUUUCUUGCUUGUAGCAUGGAAACCACUGGCGCUACCAAAAGACUCCUGGCAUCACAACAAACAAAAAGAAAGAUUUUGAGAAAUCUUACAUUCUGAAACGUAAACUCCUUUUGGCCAUCGGUUUGUGUGAGAUAAGAACAUGACUUGCAUUUCAAAUGACAAAAAACAUGUAAGGGUGAUAUUAUUUUACGAGGCAUAUUUGCGUGGACCAACUUUUAGAUGUAUGGGCUUAAUAAGAACAAAUAGUAAUAUUUACUUAAAGUAAAUGGAAUAAUCUUACAUAUUAAUUUGUUAACUGGUCUAACAUUAAAAACAAGAUGUAGAAAAUUAUUUGACAAGAUUUAAGAAAAAAAAUCUUACUAAAAUGUUACAAAUUUGCUGUGUAAAUAACACAGUACUGUAACAUGUUUGGAACUUUUGUUCAAAUAAAAAACUAACAAGACUUUUUCCGAGAUCGGAUCGGGACUCUGACAGCAGAUUCUCAAAAUCAGGUGACUCGGGUGCAAAAAUAUGCGAUCAGGACAUCCUUAUAACAUAUGUUAGUCCCAAACUCUCUUAUUAAGUGCACCGCAAUCAAUAAAACAAAUACACACCAUUAGCAGUUUUACGGCGGACUACAGUGAUUUCCCUGGCAUUAAAUACAUCAUCUAGAAAUUUAUUACCGACUGCAAUUCUCCACGAAGUUUAAGACCUUAAUUAUCCAGAUUUCAAAUUGAAGACACUUUAACCCUUUUUAAAGACCGGCAGAGACCCUGAAUGUUUUUUUUUUUUUUUUUUUUUUUUUAAUUCAACAUGAUUUUUUUUUUUCUCCAGAGUGUGACCGCUGAUGCUCUGUGUGACCAAGCGGUUGAACAAGACAAAACAUAACAUGACUAUUCUUAUUGUUUAUUUACGCGGAGUUCAAGAUGGCGCCCCUGUGUUUGGCUGACCGACACACUCUGCCUAAUGUAUUGGUAUUUACUAGGGGUGAGAAUUGAUACGAUUUUUACGAUUCCGAUUCCAUUAUCGAUAUUGCUUAACCAUUCGAUUCUUUAUCAAUUCACUUAUCGAUUCUAAUUUGGGGGAAAAGAAGAACAAACGUUUUGAUUGGCAUCGAGUUUGUUUAAUCAGAAGUCACAACCUUACAAACUCACAACGAGGUCAAAAGAGGCCCGAAGCCUCAAUGUUAACUGUGGCAAUAAGUGGCAAAUGCACAAGAAUGUGUAACAUUUUACAGAAACAUUAUUCUAAUAGAAAUAAAAAAAUAUUGGUAUAUAUUGGCAUAUAGGUCGUAGUUCUGCCUUUGGCAAUAUGUGUGCAGGGGUCCCCAAACUUUUUCCUGUGAGGGCCACAAACUUUUCCCUUCUCUGAUGAGGGGCCGGGGUCAGUUUGUAACAGAAAAAGUGUGAGGAUUGCAGGAGUGCCUAAAUGUAAAAAAAUAUUGUUUUUCAGAAAGCCACGUCAAAUAACCCUUUCUGGAUUCUUCACGGAACAAAAGUAAAUAAAAUAAAAAUAAUAAUAUAAUAUAAUAUAAUAAUAUAAUAACACUAUCAAUUAAAUAGAUAAUAACCAAAUAACCCUCUCUGAGUUCUUCACAGAAAAAGGCCAAGAAAUAAAUAACUGUUAGGUUUUGUGUUUGGUUUCUCCUUGUGUGACUUGUCCCUGUGAUUACCCAUUGCUCUCACCUGUGUGUGUUUUCCCAGUGUAUCCUGCAAUCUGCAUCCACCUGUGUUACCCAGCUGUUCGUCGUCUUGUUACCCCUUGUCUGCGUAUAUAAUGACCCAGUUUCUUGUCACUCCUUGUUGCGUCAUUGUCUAUGUCCGUCUUUGCCAAAGUCAAGUCCGUUCCACGCCCUUGUGUACCAGUCCCUCUGUUUAAGUAAGUUUUGGUUUGAACCUUGCCUUUUGAUCCCUAGUCUUUUUGUUUGUACUUUGUGCUUUUUGUUAGUUAUAAUUAAAACCAUUUUUUGAGUUCUCUGCCACCUGCUUUGCUGCUUUUGUUUUCCUGCGUUUGGGUCCUCACACACCUGCCCGCCCAGCAAUCCCUGACAAUAACACUAUUGAGAAAAAAUAUAUAUAAUAAAGAUUCAAAAUGCUCUCUGGUAUUGUUCAGGGGGCCGGACCAAAUGUGGAGGCGGGCCGUAUCCAGCCCACGGGCCGUAGUUUGGGAACCCCUGUGUUAAAGUGUAUUAUUUACCAUUAUAUUGAAACCCAUGCCUUUUAGUUUUUAUGGUGCUUUCACGCUCAAGUGGGGGCGCCCUUGCGCUUCUUCACGCAAAGAAGAACGCGCUCACGUGAAGAAGAGGGCGCUUACAUGCGAAGAAGAAGUGCCACAUCCAAGCGAGUGAGCGAGUUAGUGAGAGAGGGAAACACUGCUACGAGCCUACGUUCUUUGUUAAUGUUUGUAAAAUAUCUACAGAGGCAACACCUGUAUGUAUCAUCUUUUGUGUUGUUGUUGUGUGUUUCCAUUCGCGAUCGGACACUUAAAUCCAGUUGUGUAGUGGUUUGCACAAUGUGCUAAUGCUAGCGAACGCAUGCUAACCAUUUGUGUCAUUACUGUAUUAGCAGCUAAUCAUCGCUGAUUUACGUUGAUGCAAAACCGUUUGUUAUUGGGGACGAAAUUGAUUUGUUUCAUUUCUAUUUUUAGUUUCACUCUUUAAGUGAUGGUUGAAUAAAGUCAGCAAAUUAUACCAACGUCUUCUGCAUCGUCAUUUGGGAGUUUAGCUAGCUGUAUAGCCGGGACUGAGCCUUAGCGUCUCGAUGAGGACAGUGCAGUCGUAUUCCCUCCCGAUGCAGUUAUCUCCACCUUGCAAUGACUACAAGUCGCUUUGUUGUAAUUUUUCCUCGUGAAGUGAAGACACACUUUGGAGCGUUUGAACCUACGUGCUGUCAUUGUUAUGUUUAUGACUGCAAUGCUCGUGCUAAACCAUUGUAACCUUUCAUUUUCACCCUCUUUCCUGGUGAAGUGUAGCCAAACUUUGGAGCGAGAGGUUCUUGGUGCCAUGCUAGCUUGAUGCGUCUGGACAACAAGACACGUCACACCGCAAUACACGUCUUUAGGAAUCGUUAAAGGGAUCGUUAAGGCUUUUUCAUUGUGAUGUCGAGGCCUCGAAACACUAGGAAUCGGUUCGGAAUUGGAAUUGGAUUUCGAUUCCCAUCCCUAGUAUUUACCCUGUAUUUGCUACUUGUUAUUCGGACAGUGUCACCGCUUCAAGUAUACGAUCGCCUGACGUUUCCUAAUAUCUGUGACACAUUGGAAAAGCUGCCGUUCGGUGGCUCUUAUGGUCACUCAAAGUCACCGCCGCAUUUUCCGCCACAUAUACGGCGGUCAUUAUUGUAUAAUACUUUCCUGCACCUCCUUUAUGUAUCAUGAACUAUAUUUUUCAUUGUUGUAAAGCACUUUGAGGACCUUUCCGGCUUUUGUUAAGGGCUAUAAUAAAUAGAUUUGAUUUAUAUGUGAGAACAGAAUACUGAACCUUGAACCAGUCACUGUAGGAGGGGAAGAUGGAAGGUCCAUGCAAUGAUCCCUGCCGCGCCAACAAGAACGCAGUUACGAUGCUCUCCAAGUCGUAACCUUCGAAUGCCGAAGUCAGCAAUCUGGACAGAAGUUCUGAAAGGCAAUGGUGGAAAAAUAAGAGUACGAUACAUACAAGACAAAUGGCUUAUGUUUGUCUUAAAUAAGUAUUAAAAUCAAACCCCUGAACUUAAAUUUAUUUGAAUCCGAGUGACCAUUGUUUAAAGCAACACUAUGUAAUUUUUCAGUUUUGGUCUAUUUUAGUGACGCAGGUGGACAAAAGCGGUAGUGUUUUGCCUUAAGGAAGACUGCGUUUCCUAUGAGGACCAGCGCACAGUGUCGUAAAAUCCGGAUCUACCAGUAGCCUACAGAUGGAUUAAUCGAUAUUUCUGUUUCCAGCGGCUCGCUGUGUGAAGAAUGAAUAGUAAUGAGGUAAUGAAUCCAAUUGUGGCUAAACAAUAGUAUAUGUCGUUGUUGAAAAUAAAAACGUUUGAUUUUUUCCCGUAUUCCCCCACCGGCUUUCCGACCCCUCCCCCCUGUGACGAGUUCGGUUGAGGGGGGCGCUCACGCUAGGAAGUGAAAGCCGGGCCAAUGUUUAUUCUUAAGUGUCUUUUUAUCCUGGUAUCCUCUCUUUUUAUUUUUUUGUCUCCUCAGAUAAAACUUUUUGUCUCUUUUGUUGCUCUGCCAUCUUUAAAUUGAAUGAGGAAGUGACGUAUGCCGUAAAGCAGUCAGCAUAUUUGUAGUUUUUUGGAGUGGCAGUGUUUCUGCCACCCUCCUCAUAGUUAAAGGGUAUGAAAACGCAAAGGGGGUGUGAGACAUCAAUAGAACCGUUAUGUGCCAAGAUAACAAAUAUUGAUAAAGUUAACAAAAAAAUCAAUCACAUUAAUGAGCAAUUAUCGAAAAUAGAUCGAAAAUGACGAACAUUUCCGAAAGUGUUCCGGAAACAGCCGAAUGGGGCGGAGACGUCAUAACAAGGAAACAAAAGGUCGAGGCAGGUGCCAUUGUUGUUUAUCGACGAGAGAGUUGCGUUCGUGUUUCAUCAAAAAAUCGCUAAAAUGGUUCAAACCUGUCAUGCUAUGUGGUUUACAAAUAGCCAUUUGUCGCAAUGUAGUACCCAUGAGUUCCCGAACGCAAGAAAAAGAGCUGGACUCCGCAGACAAUGAGUAAAGUUCGUCAGUGCUAAGAGGGCUAAUUUUGCAAUUUUACAGGGAAACGGGAACCUGACGAGCCAGAAGAUGUGCCUACAACCUCAAAGAAAACAAAAUUUAUGCUACUUCCCAAUCACUAAUGACCCACAAACUGCGAAGGAGUGAAUUCGUGACCCGUAUGUGAAUAAAUCGAGUGAUUCGAGCAUGUCUGUGGAACAGGAAUAUCAGCUUGUAGAGAUCGCAAAUCACGGCGACUUAAACGUACAUUUGAGACAACAACUCUACCGAAGUUCUGGAUUAAAGUCAUUUCGGAAUAUCCCGACAUCGCUAGGAGCGAGCUGAAAACUGUGCUACAAUUUCCAUCCAACAUCGUGUAUUUGUGAUGCUAGCUUCUCUCACUCUCCCAUCUCGGGACCAUCUCGUCUCAACGAAACAAACUCAGCCCUCCCACUGAUUCAGCGGAAAACGGCUGUGCUGAAUUGUCCGCAGAGUCCAGAAGCCCUGAAAAGGAAAGAGCACACAGGAGACACUUCAAGAUUGAACUGUGUUGGAAAUUGUCACAAAACCGAAACAGAUUUAGGUCUAGAGACUGAGGAACGGAGGUCGGAGGAGACAGCAGGUGGAUUACAGGGCUCCAGACUGCUGCUAAAUGGGGGCAUUUCACUCGUAAAAUUUGACAACGCAAGUAAAUUUUUCCAUCUACUUGCACCUGUGCAAGCAGGACUUUUGCAGAUUUACAUUUUUCAUAAAACAUUUUUCUUGAAUUUUUUUGUAGCUGACAAACUUCUAUUCCACACACUAAUUGUUGGCUGCAAUGUGCAAAUAAAUUGCUCAAGCAUUGCAUUUCUCAGUAAUCUAUUAAAAAUGAGUGGAAAUUUAAAUAUUGACAGGGUUCCUCCAGCUCAUGGAAAGUUCAAUUCGAGACUUAUGUCUUAUGUUGUUUGAGACCAACAUGACAACAAAGCGAAAUUGUGGGCGUGGGCAGGCACAACAGGACUUCAAGUACUAUGACCUAAUCGUUGCUAAAAGUCCCACCCAAUCAAUCGAAACAACAUAGAU